GGAAAAUAGUUUUCUGAAUGGGAAGAUUUUUCUAGAAAAUCUGUAGUAGCAGGUCAGGUGAUCGAGUUUUCCCGCCCUUGGGUGGAUAACCGAUAUCGAAUCACGAUUUCUAAAACCGAAACGCCAACCGUCAUCGAUCGCUCUAAUUAACAGACUGUCAAUCUACAAGCACAUGCGGUAACGUCAUGUCACGAUAUGCCGUAACCUACUGCGCAUGACCAAAAGCAAUUCACGCGAAACAUCAGUGGCCCACAAACAAAACACUAUAAGCAGCAGGAGUAACCUUACCAGGAACGUGCAGAAGCAAGAAUUCGAAAUGGAUUGGAAUCCAAGAGUCUGAAUCUGUGAGGCAAAACAGAUUCAAAACGUCUUCAAAAAUGCUCCUUCGAUAGGAUAUUUAAGAAAACAGAACGUUUGAUUGCUUCAAGGACGAAAACAGAAAUGAAUACCAAAAAGAACUGAGAAAGUCAGAGAAGAAACUGAAUGUCUAGUCUAAGUCAAACGCCGAGAGAGCACGGCUUACUUCAUCCCUUUUAAUUUAUUUUUCUCUGUUUUAUUUAAUCUUUUGAUAUCGUGUGAGCUCCCAACGAGUUUUCCCGCUGUUUGUCUCACUUAAUGAUGCUUGGAAAAUGUUUUCCUUAUAUAAAUAUUUCCACAAUUAA
rnacentral:lncRNA from 1 species